GCAGGUAUAGCUCAGUGGUAGAGUGUGUGCUUAGCAAGUGUAAGGUCCUGGCUUUAAUCCCUAGUAUCUCCA
rnacentral:tRNA from 1 species